CAUAAUCAUUUGUCUCUUAAUUAGAGUCUGGUAUGAAUGGUUGGAUGAAAAAUUUACUUUCUUUUGUUUAUAUAUAAAAUUUGAUUUUUAAGUUAAAAAGCUUAAAUUUAAUUAAAGGACGAGAAGACCCUAUAGAACUUUACCUUUUUAAAAAUAUUAUUUUUUUAAAAAAUAAUUUUUUUUUAUUUUUAAAAAGGUUUUAUUGGGGCGAUAAAAAAAAAUCUAUAACUUUUUUUAUUUUUAUCAUAUAUUAAUGGGUUUUUGAUCCUUUAUUAAGGAAAUAAGAUUAAGUUACCUUAGGGAUAACAGCGUUAUUAUUUUGGAGAGUUCAUAUUGAUAAAAUAGUUUGCGACCUCGAUGUUGGAUUAAAAUUAGUAUCAGGGGUAGAAUAUUGAUUACUAGGUCUGUUCGACCUUUAAAUUUUUACAUGAUCUGAG
rnacentral:rRNA from 1 species